UACGUAGGGGGCAAGCGUUGUCCGGAAUCAUUGGGCGUAAAGAGCGUGUAGGCGGCCAGAAAAGUCCGCUGUGAAAACUCGAGGCUCAACUUCGAGCUGUCGGUGGAAACUUUCUGGCUAGAGUCCGGAAGAGGAGAAUGGAAUUCCUGGUGUAGCGGUGAAAUGCGCAGAUAUCAGGAAGAACACCAGUGGCGAAGGCGGCCUGCUGGGCAGUGGCUGACGCUGAGGCGCGACAGCGUGGGGAGCAAACAGG
rnacentral:rRNA from 1 species